CUGCAGCUGGUGGUUUUGCUAUAGCUGAGAGAUGGUGUGUAGUAACAGAGAACAGUACUUCGGGGAUGGCACCAAAUUAACUGUGUUAGAGCAUAACAUUUCUGAACCUAUACUUCACAUCCUCGAGCCGUCGAAGGAAGAGAUUGUGCAGAAGAAGCGGGUGACCCUGGUGUGCCUGGCCACUAAUUUCUACCCGGAUCACAUUAAUAUCACCUGGAAGAUCAAUGGCAAGAACAGAGAGGACGGGGUUAAAACAGAUGAUUAUGCUAUCAAGGACAAUAUAGCCAACAACUACAGCAUCAGCAGCCGGCUAAGACUGACUCCGAGCGAAUGGUUUAACCCCCAGAACAUCUUCACCUGCGCUGUGAAGUUCUACAAAGGAAACGGUUCAGAAAUUGUAACUCCUGAAAAACACAUUUCUGGAAAGGAUGGAUGUGGCAUGACUAAAGCUUUAAAUCGGAAUGAAUCAGUGGCUGCACGGAUUUCAUACAUGCUGUUGGUUGGCAAAAGUUUAAUGUAUGGACUGUUCGUGACAUUUCUUGUGUGGAAACUGAGGCCUAAUUCUUCAAGCAAGCGCUUAAACUGAGAGAAGAGAGAGCAGCUAAACGGAAGAGACGAAUGAUAUGCUUCUUUGAUUAUUUCAGCUUUAGAUUUUCUUAAUACGUCUGCAAGCUUGGUGCAUGUAUGCUUCAGAACAUGUUUGGUAAUUACUAGAAAUGAAUACGAUAGAGUACAUGUUAGUUUUGCAAAUGCGUUUGAACUUUUCAAGCUUGCCUACUUUACAGCCUAAUAAACUAGCUUAAUAAAAUCA